rnacentral:rRNA from 1 species
UUUUAGAAAUUAAUUUAAAGUCUAACCUGCCCACUGAAUAAUUUUAAAUGGCCGCAGUAUCCUAACUGUGCAAAGGUAGCAUAAUCAUUAGUCUUUUAAUUGAAGGCUAGAAUGAAUGGUUGGAUGAAAUAUUAACUGUUUCAUAUAAAUUUAUAAUAGAAUUUUAUUUUUUAGUUAAAAAGCUAAAAUUUUAUUAAAAGACGAGAAGACCCUAUAAAUCUUUAUAUUUUUAUAAUUUUAAUUAUUUAGAUAAAUUAAAUUAUAAUUAAUAAAAAUAUUUUAUUGGGGUGAUAUUAAAAUUUAAUAAACUUUUAAUUUAUAAUUUACAUAAAUUAAUGAAUUAUUGAUCCAUUUAUUAUGAUUAAAAAAUUAAGUUACUUUAGGGAUAACAGCGUAAUUUUUUUAGAGAGUUCAUAUUGAUAAAAA